AACGAACGCUGGCGGCAUGCCUAACACAUGCAAGUCGAACGAGACCUUCGGGUCUAUUGGCGCACGGGUGCGUAACGCGUGGGAACCUGCCCUUAGGUACGGAAUAACUCCCCGAAAGGGGUGCUAAUACCGGAUAAGGUCUUCGGACCAAAGAUUUAUCGCCUUUGGAUGGGCCCGCGUUGGAUUCGCUAGUUGGUAGGGUAAAAGCCUACCAAGGCGACGAUCCAUAGCUUGUCUGAGAGGAUGAUCAGCCACACUGGGACUGAGACACGGCCCAGACUCCUACGGGAGGCGGCAGUGGGGAAUAUUGGAAAAUGGGCGAAAGCCUGAUCCAGCAAUGCCGCGUGAGUGAUGAAGGCCUUAGGGUUGUAAAGCUCUUUUACCCGGGAUGAUAAUGACAGUACCGGGAGAAUAAGCUCCGGCUAACUCCGUG
rnacentral:rRNA from 1 species